rnacentral:rRNA from 1 species
UGGGGAAUUUUGGACAAUGGGCGCAAGCCUGAUCCAGCCAUGCCGCGUGCGGGAAGAAGGCCUUCGGGUUGUAAACCGCUUUUGUCAGGGAAGAAAUCUUCUGAGUUAAUACCUCGGGAGGAUGACGGUACCUGAAGAAUAAGCACCGGCUAACUACGUGCCAGCAGCCGCGGUAAUACGUAGGGUGCAAGCGUUAAUCGGAAUUACUGGGCGUAAAGCGUGCGCAGGCGGUUUUGUAAGACAGAGGUGAAAUCCCCGGGCUCAACCUGGGAACUGCCUUUGUGACUGCAAGGCUUGAGUGCGGCAGAGGGGGGAUGGAAUUCCGCGUGUAGCAGUGAAAUGCGUAGAUAUGCGGAGGAACACCGAUGGCGAAGGCAAUCCCCUGGGCCUGCACUGACGCUCAUGCACGAAAGCGUGGGGAGCAAACAGGAUUAGAUAGCCCUGGUAGUCCACGCCCUAAACGAUGUCAACUGGUUGUUGGGAAGGUUCCUUCUCAGUAACGUAGCUAACGCGUGAAGUUGACCGCCUGGGGAGUACGGCCGCAACGGUUGGAAACUUAAAAUGGAAUUGACGGGGGUGCAUAAGCAUGUUUCCU